rnacentral:lncRNA from 1 species
UCAAGUCACUAUUUACCCCACAUUCCAUGUUUCUCUCCUUAGACCAUGCUAAAAGAUUCCUGAAUCCAUAAACCAUACACAUAUCCAUGAUCUAGCAAGCCCUUAUUUUCUUACUCCCAAGAAUAUUAUUGAAAGAAUGAUUAAGAAAGGAAACAAGGUUGUACCUCACAUUUUGAUUCACUUGGAUAAGCUACUUUUUGACCAGCUAACUUUGGAGGAUCACCAUGCUCUGAAGUUAAGGUUUCCAGACUUCUUCCUUGAGGACAAGAAAGAUUUUUAAGGAAAUGUAGAGGAUGAUCUUUCAGCUGAGAGAGUAGUAGUACUUAGACGUUAAGAGAAUAUAAUUAAAAUAAAGUUUUCUAGUUGGCACAUUAGUCCCUUAGUUUUUAUAUUCAAUGUUUGCUUAUUUCUGAUUUAGCCCAAGAAACUAUCUAGUUGGGCAUAUUUCGUCCUCCGUCAAAUCAGUUAUUUACAGAGUACGCAUGUUCCUGCUGGAGAAGGCAUUUGUGCACUCCUAUAUAUGAUGUAGCUGCUCCAUUUCUGAUAUCAAUGAAAGUUCACAUAUCUUAGCUCUAGAAUUUAAUUUUAAUUUUUGUUCCUAUCUUCUCUCUCCCAAG